UACGGAGGGUGCAAGCGUUGUUCGGAAUUAUUGGGCGUAAAGCGCGUGUAGGCGGUCUUGUAAGUCUGAUGUGAAAGCCCGGGGCUUAACCCCGGAAGUGCAUUGGAUACUGCUUGACUAGAGGACAAGAGAGGUGAGUGGAAUUCCUGGUGUAGGGGUGAAAUCCGUAGAUAUCAGGAGGAACAUCAGAGGCGAAGGCGGCUCACUGGCUUGUAUCUGACGCUGAGACGCGAAAGCGUGGGGAGCAAACAGG
rnacentral:rRNA from 1 species